UAACUCCAGUUGAUCCUGCUGGAGGGUACUGCUAUCAGAAUUCGACUAAGCCAUGCAAGUCUACCCCUUCUGCUAGGAGGGGUGGCAUACGGCUGAGUAGCGAGUAGUCAAUCUGCCCUAAGGAGGGGGAUAACCUCGGGAAACUGAGGCUAAUACCACAUAGGUUAUGGAUGCUGGAACGCU
rnacentral:rRNA from 1 species